AUUUAAUUACGACAUGUUAUUGACCUGUGCUUUUAGCACAAGCUCCAUUUCCCAAACAACAUACUAAGAAUAAAGCAAAUGAUUAGAAUGUUUUGAUCGUUAGUGCAUUUAAAAUGAUUUCUCCAAGCUCCAUUUACAUUUUCGUUUAAUAAUGAACAGAGUAAGGAAAGCAGAUCUACGCCCCAGCUGCUCAGGAAGUCUCAAUUGUGUGCAACCAGGACAUGUUGUUCAGUCAGCUGCAGCUGCCAAGAUAAGAGGGAAUAUGGGGAUAGGAAUGAUUCUCUUUGGCUUUAAGUAUAGGUUAUACCUUUCAUUUUGCCUUCUAUCUCCAAACAUGAGUAGGUUUCCCAGUUGGAUAUGGUAUUUCUAUAGAAGACUGGGUUGUGACCUACAUGCGAUGGCUCCUUGCCAUCCCUACAGCUCUGUUGUUUGCCAACCCUGGAACGUAAGGCCGCCUUUUUGGUUUUGCCCAGUGGAAACUCAGAGCUUUGAACUGUGUGCACUGUGAAACAUAUUUGCAAAAGUCACCAAAUAAGGUCGUUGAAGAUGGUGGUGAAAUGCACAAAUGCUUCUUCUGCCCUAAGUAGCAGAGAUAUGCAGGCCGGCAACUUCCUGCCAAUCACCCCCACCAAGCUCAGAGAAAAGCAACCUCCUCUCAAGACUGUCUUGCCAGCCUGAAAAUCACCCCCAGUGCUCAGUUCAGUUGUUUGGGUUCAAGACAAAAUACUGAUUGAGGGGGAUCCAGUGCCUACUUACUUAGACGGAAAGCCAGGCAUAAACCGGAGCAAACUGGACAAAAUAAUCAAGUGAAGUAGACAGUGAGGCCAUAAUUCACCUCAAAAAACAGGUUAAAGGAAGCGGAGGUAAAGGCAGAGAAUGACUGUGUUGUCCCCCUGGAGACACUAGCACCGAUGCAGGGAGAGGGACACGGGGACAAGGGGCCAUGAAAAUAUCCAAAUAUCGAUCGAUUCAACAUAUGGGAUGGGAUUAAAAUUGUGAAAAUUAAAUAUGAAGUUAAAAUUGUGAAAAUUAAGAUUUUAAAAACCAAGUCCAAAUAAAG
rnacentral:lncRNA from 12 species